GCUGCUGGCUGACAUUGACCCAUGUGGGCGGCUCUGCCCACAUAAUGACAUCUUCUGAGGCUCCCCGGCUCUAAACAGAACCGGCACUGUAGGUGCUGAGCCGGCAGUUGCUAUGCAACAAUUCGUCGCCGGCAGCAUCCAGGUUGGACCUGAGUGGAGAGCAGCAGCCAGGCGGCGGAGGCGGUGGUUUGAAUGUGUUCAGCAGGGUUUCUGCAGCUUCCUGGUAGGCGAGCUGUCACUACAUCAGAUUGUAUGAAAGCUUAAUAAGUGGCACCGGGCCACAGCAGCAGCUGAGUGAGAGACGGAGGAUGAAUCCACACUUCUGGUUUGGCUCGAAAAUGAAGCUGAACGUGUCAGAUGAGGAAAAUAUCUCCUGUUUCCUUCCUGAGCUGUGAUGAAGAGACAUCAUGGUGGUCACAUACAGUUCUGUUUACCAGACAUUUAAUCUACACAUGAGUACCUCAGAGGAGUCUCUGGAGGGGAAGGAGGGGUAACAACCAGCCAGCAGGAGAAGAUGUCAGCAGUAAACCACAGAUAUGUUCACAUUUGUAUCACGAACAUGGAGACAAAAAGCAGAUCUCUGAACAUCUCCAGCUCAUUCUGCAGGAGAAGAAGCAGGUGUUUUAAAGUAAAAGCAGGUUUUGAGCCUAAACCCGAGCAGACAACAAGCACAGCAUCAUCACACCUGAAGGAAUGUUGAAGUGGUGUUCAGGCUCUUUUCAUGUGGAGCUGUAUGAAGUAUUUAUCCCCAGGCAGUGAAUCAGCUGCAGUAGAUGACAUCAAGAUUACAAUCUGACGUCUCAGUAAUCAUAUUCAGACAAAGCUUCGCUCAUCUGGUUUCCUGUUAUGUUGAAAACGUGACUCUCAAAGACAAACGUCGUCCUUUACUGGUAUUUUAACAACCUGAGAUUAAAUCUGGACAUCAUGACUCAAACACGCUCCUGCCUCAUCUGACAGCAUGUUGUCUCUGUGAGCGUGGGCUGCUGCUGGAGCUUCUCUCUGCUUUUUAAGAAAAAAACACCAACACAGAAACAAACAUCUCUCGCUGCUGGGAGCUGAAGACUGAUGUGACUCAUCUGGGAGCUACGGUCUAAAUCAGAACCCACAUCAUAUCUGGGCUGCGUCUGUCUGCGGCUGCCUGCCCGCCCGCCUCUCUCCAGGGUUUAAUUAGAGCCGCUGAGCUCCCUGUGAAUAAUGUAGCACCUGAACACACCUGAGCGGGCAGCUGGAGAGAGGCCGAGAGAGCACCGCCCUCAGAGGAGAGAGAGAGAGAGACAGACAGACAGAGAGAGAGAGAGAGAGAGAGAGAGGAUGGAAGGAGACUUCUGAGGAUUUAAAGGUUUCAUCUCAAUUUAAUCAGCACAUUAAAGAACAAACAGAAAGAUGAACUUGUUAUUUAUGGAGGUCAGUCGUACUUUCAUUCAUCUGAUGCUCCUUCAUUAGAUGAUUUUCACAUUUAGAUGAACUGUUCCUUUUUAAAUCUACAUUUAAAUCUACGUUUCCAACAUUUACUCAAACACAAUUUUUAUUUAAUUGUACUUCAUUUGAGUAUUUUCCUAUUCAGACAUUAUACUUCCACACGGCUUCAUUCAAUUGUUUCUACCCCACUACAUUUAUUUGAUCAUUUAAAUUACUAGUUACUUUACAGAUUACAUCUCAGCUGAAGUAGUGCUUCACUAGAUUAAUUUAUUUGAUCUAUAACAGAUUAAAAUAAUCAACCAGGCUGAAAAUAAUCAGUCAACCUGCGGUACAGUAUACAGGUUAUACACACGUAUAAAUAUGCUGUAUAUAUAUAGUAUUUAUGUAUAUGUAGUAUUUAUUUCAGUCAAUUAAUACUGACUGAUAUUAUUAGUAUAAUGUUACGAACAGUAUUUGUGCUGAAUUGCUCUGUUUGUGUUUACAAUUCAAUUGGUGGAUAUGAAUUUUAGUGAAGUCUUAAAUGUUUUCAACAAAGUUUGACAUUACAAGUAAAAGAUCCUGUGUCAUUAAAAGUCAACAAUAUCUUA